rnacentral:rRNA from 1 species
UACGAAGGGGGCUAGCGUUGCUCGGAAUCACUGGGCGUAAAGCGCACGUAGGCGGCUUGCUAAGUCAGGGGUGAAAUCCUGGAGCUCAACUCCAGAACUGCCUUUGAUACUGGCGAGCUUGAGUCCGGGAGAGGUGAGUGGAACUGCGAGUGUAGAGGUGAAAUUCGUAGAUAUUCGCAAGAACACCAGUGGCGAAGGCGGCUCACUGGCCCGGUACUGACGCUGAGGUGCGAAAGCGUGGGGAGCGAACAGG